UCUCCGUAGGUGAACCUGCGGAGGGAUCAUUACCAGAAGUGGUCGUACGCGGCGGCUCCGGCCGCCGUGCGCGAUGGCCUCCAACCCUUUGUGAACCAAACUCGUUGCCUCGGGGGCGACCCUGCCGUCACGGCACCGGCGCCCCCGGCGGACAUCAAACACUGCAUCUUUGCGUCGGAGUUUAAGUAAAUUAAACAAAACUUUCAACAAGGGAUCUCUUGGUUCUGGCAUCGAUGAAGAACGCAGC
rnacentral:misc_RNA from 1 species